CAUUAAAAAAAGGGUCGCAAGACCCAUUUUAAAACCUACCACCACCUAUCAUUUGUGGCCUGUCUAUGGGUGAGAUGGAGGAGGUAUGGUUUUUUAAAAUCCAAUUAUUAUAAUAUAUAUAUAUAUCGUCUAACGACGAAAUUAAAAAUUUCUAAAAACUUUCAACAAUGGAUCUCUUGGCUCUCGCAUCGAUGAAGAACGCAGCGAAUUGCGAUAAGUAGUAUGAAUUGCAAAUUCUGUGAAUCAUCGAAUCUUUGAACGCAUAUUGCGCUCUCUGGUACUCCGGAGAGCAUGCCUGUUUGAGGGUAAUUAACAGAAUCUUUAACCUUUUUCUUGGUUAAAGGAUAUGGGCCUUCCGCGAUCAGCGGUGGCCUAAAAUAUAUGGUCAGUCUCAUCGAGAGGAGAUGUGUAAUAAUUAUUAUUUCGCAAAACCAUUCGAUGAGCUACCAAGUUUUGAUUCAUUCAACUAUGUUGCGUGCGGUUAAAACAAAUAUUUUUGACAUUACCUCAAAUCAGGUAGGAAUACCCGCUGAACUUAAGCAUAUCAAUA
rnacentral:rRNA from 1 species